rnacentral:tRNA from 1 species
GCGGUUGUAGCUCAGUUGGUAGAGCACCACCUUGCCAAGGUGGAUGUCGCGAGUUCGAGUCUCGUCAACCGCU